CCCUAAUUAAAGGCUCUUUUUAAGAGUUGCCUUGAUCAUGGUGUCUGUUCACAGCAACAGAACAGUGACGAAGACAGCUGCUAUGACAAGUUCCCAGCAAAGAUGGCCUCAAGGAAAAGCUUAUCCAGGCUUACCGUUUGCAUGCAUUGUCCAUCAUGGUGGGGCAGUCAUAAUGACAGACAUGUGAAGCAGCCGGUCACGUGGUUUCUAUAGUCAGAAAGGAGAGAGAGAUGAAUACUGGUGCUUAGCUUGCAUUCUUGUUUUUACUUAGUCCUGGAACAGUGCUGCCCACAUCCAGAGUUAAGUUUUCCUCCCUUCUAAAUGUAUCAUAGACACAAGCAAAAGUGUUUCCCUGGUAACUCUAAAUUUAGUCAAAUUGACAGUGAGGAUUAGCCAUCAGAAUAAAGGACUAUAGAGUACAUAGUACUGAGAGAGCAAACAGCGACUGAGUGAGAGGAUCUACAAAGGCAAGGCUAUUCAGGGACUAAGUGGAUUGUGUAGGAAAUUAGGAAACCAUCAAAGGAAUUUUAGCUUGAUGGUGACUUAACAAGAUUGGUAAAUUGAAAAUUGUACUCUAGAUAUAAAUCCCAAGCAAAGAUUAGGAUGUAUCAAAGUAGAUAGGAUACUCCCAAAUUAGUUAGAGGUUUUUGCAGAUAAAAGAAACUGAAACUGGAGUAUUGGACCAGGAUAGUGUAAUAGAGGUAGAGUGAGUUGGAGGAACAGUAGAAACACUUCCUGGAGCUGGACUGAGCAUUAGGAGGAAGAAGUUACUUGUGUAUUUACAGCUGAAUGGUAGUGGCAUUCAUUCACUAGAGUGUUAAUGUAUUUGGAGUUGUCAGGGAGGUUGGAAGAUCAUUUGGUUUAGUACUUCCUGAAUUUCUGCUGUCUUUGAGUCAUCGAAGCAGCUUCUAAAUAGAAGCAUGGAUCUGGGGACAAGCUCCUUUGGGCAGAAAGGAUUUAUAUUAGCUCCAUUCCAGGUUACAGUCUAUUACUACUGGGAGGUCGCAGCAGCAGAAGCCUGAGAGAGCUGGUUACAUCACUUCCAAAACAGAAAACUGGAUAUGGGUGGCCUGGUGAUCUGAAAGAGAUGCCCUCUAUAAGUCUCAGGCAUUUGAAUACUUGGUCCUCGGUUGGUGGCUGUUGAGGAAGCAUUAGGAGGGAUCAGGAAGCUGAGACUCUUAAAGGAGAUGUGGAAGCUGAAGAAACCCGGGCAGUUUUACUAAAGUCUGUGCUUUCGUGAAGCACAUAUCAAACACAAUAUAACAGCUGCACCAGUUCCUGACCUCCAUCCUUUGAGAAGUUAGUCUGUUCUCAUCUUUGAAUUCUUUGUCAUAGCUCAUCCUUAUAAGAGAAUGUCACAUCUUGGGUUCAGCAAAGUGCAUUUCUACUGGUUGCAGCAGCAAAGCCCUGUGCUUAAGUGGCUGUGAGUGGAAAUGCAGAUACAAACCACAGAGAAAGUAAUGAGUCAAGUCAAGAGAAAGGAAGGGUUAUACAGAGUUCCCGUUACAAGGUGGGAAUUCAGGGUGUUACACAGUAGCGAUUUUUUUUACCCCAAGUGGCUUAGAGCUCAGAUUGUAUCGAAGCCAAGUACUUUUAGAACUUUCAAAUGUAUAAGUUACUACAUACUAAGUUUCAAAAUGCACCUAGGAGAUACAUUCUAAAAAGGUUUCCAGAUGGAAGUAGAAUGUAUUGACCAGGGUUCUCUAGAAAAACAGAACUGAUAGAAUAAAUACAUAUAUAUAAUUAGAGUAGCUCACAAGCUGUGGUCUGGCUAGUGCAACAGUGGCUAUCUCCUGACUCCUGACGGAAAGUCCAAGAAUCCAAUAGUUAAUCAUUCCAUGAGGCUGAAUGUCUCAGCUGUUCUUCAGUAUAUAUCAGAGUCCUGAAGAAGUAGGCUCUAAUACCAGAAAGGAAGGAACUUGCCAGGGACAGUGAGGGCAAGCAGGCAAAAAGCAAAAGAUUCCUUCCUCCCUGUCCUGUAUAUAGGCUGCAACAGAAGGUGUGGCCCAGAUUUAGGGUAGUUCUUCCCACCUCAAAUGAUUUUUAAAAAAAGUCCCUCGUAGAUGUGCCCAAUUGCUUGGGCUUUAGUUGAUUCCAGAUGUAGUCAAGUUGACAACCAAGAAUAGCCAUCAUGUUGCACGAAUCCUAAAUGGUCUUUUAAUAAAAACCUGGAGCCAGAUAUUAGGGUAAAUGCUGAAAGAUCAGAGAGACAAAGGAACAAGCCACAGCCACUUCUCACCUCACCAACUCUACAAAUCCUCUAACUGAAUGCCUGAGUCCUCAGCCUAAAGGAUCUCCAGUUCCUGUCUCCUCAUGCUUUAUAUGCCUUUCUCCACCCGGCCAUUUCAUUUCCUGUCUCAACCUUCUUAGUGCUGUGAUUAAUGGCGUGUAUGCUUCCCAAA